UUAACAACGCGGCCGAGCAAUGGAAACGGGCGCCGCGGGAAUGGGUCGAGGCAAAGACACAGUUCGCCGUCAUCUUUGGCGAGCGGUUCUUCAACUGAUGAAACCGGCCCACCGCAUAGAAUUCCUGACAGUCCCGUGGCCGACUGCUAAAAGCUCUUCGGCAUGAUGGGAUCGGCCUGUCGCUGUAUGCGAAACGGCUCGAACGCGGGCGUUUCAUCUGGCCGGCAACGGAGGGUGGUGCGAGCGCGCUGACCGCCGGUCGGAUGUCCUGG
rnacentral:sRNA from 1 species